rnacentral:rRNA from 1 species
GAAAAUGUAAUUUUUAUAUUAAAUUAUUAUUAGGUAAGUUCUUGAAAAUUAAAAAUUUUGGCGGUAUUUUAGUCUUUUUAGAGGAAUCUGUCCUAUAAUUGAUAAUCCACGAUUAAAUAUACUUUUUUAAUAAAAAAAUAUUUGUAUAUCGUUGUAGAUUGGAAUAUUUUAAAAGAAAAUUAAUAUUCGAAAUUAAUUAUUUUUAAAUAAAUCAGAUCAAGAUGCAGUUUAUAAAAAAGAAGAGAUGGAUUACAAUAAUAUAAAUUAUUUAUGAAUAAGUUUUUGAAAUAUAGCUUUGAAGGUGGAUUUAAUAGUAAUUUUAAUAUAUUUAAAAAAUGAUUUUAGCUCUAAAAUAUGC